rnacentral:rRNA from 1 species
UACACAUGCAAGUCGAGGGGAAACGACAUCGAAAGCUUGCUUUUGAUGGGCGUCGACCGGCGCACGGGUGAGUAACGCGUAUCCAACCUGCCCACCACUUGGGGAUAACCUUGCGAAAGUAAGACUAAUACCCAAUGACGUCUCUAGAAGACAUCUGAAAGGGAUUAAAGAUUUAUCGGUGAUGGAUGGGGAUGCGUCUGAUUAGCUUGUUGGCGGGGUAACGGCCCACCAAGGCGACGAUCAGUAGGGGUUCUGAGAGGAAGGUCCCCCACAUUGGAACUGAGACACGGUCCAAACUCCUACGGGAGGCAGCAGUGAGGAAUAUUGGUCAAUGGGCGAGAGCCUGAACCAGCCAAGUAGCGUGCAGGAUGACGGCCCUAUGGGUUGUAAACUGCUUUUAUAAGGGAAUAAAGUGAGUCUCGUGAGACUUUUUGCAUGUACCUUAUGAAUAAGGACCGGCUAACUCCGUGCCAGCAGCCGCGGUAAUACGGAAGGUCCGGGCGUUAUCCGGAUUUAUUGGGUUUAAAGGGAGCGUAGGCCGGAGAUUAAGCGUGUUGUGAAAUGUAGACGCUCAACGUCUGCACUGCAGCGCGAACUGGUCUCCUUGAGUACGCACAAAGUGGGCGGAAUUCGUGGUGUAGCGGUGAAAUGCUUAGAUAUCACGAAGAACUCCGAUUGCGAAGGCAGCUCACUGGAGCGCAACUGACGCUGAAGCUCGAAAGUGCGGGUAUCGAACAGGAUUAGAUAC